rnacentral:rRNA from 1 species
GUAGGGUGCGAGCGUUAAUCGGAAUUACUGGGCGUAAAGCGUGCGCAGGCGGCUUUGCAAGACAGAUGUGAAAUCCCCGGGCUCAACCUGGGAACUGCCUUUGUGACUGCAAGGCUAGAGUACGGCAGAGGGGGAUGGAAUUCCGCGUGUAGCAGUGAAAUGCGUAGAUAUGCGGAGGAACACCAAUGGCGAAGGCAAUCCCCUGGGCCUGUACUGACGCUCAUGCACGAAAGCGUGGGGAGCAAACAGGAUUAGAUACCCUGGUAGUCCACGCCCUAAACGAUGUCAACUGGUUGUUGGACGGCUUGCUGUUCAGUAACGAAGCUAACGCGUGAAGUUGACCGCCUGGGGAGUACGGCCGCAAGGUUGAA